GACUCGUCACACUAUCAUUAACUGAAUCCAUAGGUUAAUGAGGCGAACCGGGGGAACUGAAACAUCUAAGUACCCCGAGGAAAAGAAAUCAACCGAGAUUCCCCCAGUAGCGGCGAGCGAACGGGGAGGAGCCCAGAGCCUGAAUCAGCAUGUGUGUUAGUGGAAGCGUCUGGAAAGGCGCGCGAUACAGGGUGACAGCCCCGUACACAAAAGCGCAUGUGCUGUGAGCUCGAUGAGUAGGGCGGGACACGUGGUAUCCUGUCUGAAUAUGGGGGGACCAUCCUCCAAGGCUAAAUACUCCUGACUGACCGAUAGUGAACCAGUACCGUGAGGGAAAGGCGAAAAGAACCCCGGCGAGGGGAGUGAAAAAGAACCUGAAACCGUGUACGUACAAGCAGUGGGAGCACCCUUUGGGGUGUGACUGCGUACCUUUUGUAUAAUGGGUCAGCGACUUAUAUUCUGUAGCAAGGUUAACCG
rnacentral:rRNA from 1 species